rnacentral:lncRNA from 1 species
AGCAAUUUGAUAUAGGUUAUAUAUGUGCAAUCAUGUAAAACAUAUUUUCAUAUUAGUCACAGUUGUGAAAGAAGAAAUGGACCUAAAGGAAAAAACCAUGAAAAAAUAAAGUAAGUGCAAAAAGAGUGCUUUGAUCUGCAUUCAGACUCCAUAGUUCUCUCUCUGGAUGCAGUUAGCAUUUUCCAUCGUGAGUCCUUUGUCACUGUCUUAGAUCAUUGUGUUGCUGAGAAGAGCUAAGUCAUUCAUAGUUGAUCAUCACACAAUGUUGCUAUUACUGUGUACGAUGUUCUCCUGGUUCUGCUCAUUUCACUUUGUACCAGUUUGUACAAGUCUUUCCAAGUUUUUUCUCCUUCUUAUACAGCGGCUAAGAACUCCCACCUCAAGAUGUUUCCCCUCAACUUCACUAUCACCAACAUGUUCUACACAGAAGACAUGGGUGAGAGAGGCUCCAACAAAUUCAACACCACUAAGAAUGCCCUACAGUUUGUGCUCAACUUCCUGUUUAGGAAGGGCAGCCUCGGCUCUCACUAUUCCGGAUGCAGUUUGAUGUCGCUGAGGUUAUAACUGCAAGAUGCCAACCUCCUCCACAAGCAGUAAGUUUUUAUUGUCUUUAUUUCUCUAUUUUCUGGGACACUACAGAGAAAGGAGAGUUCUUUCCCCCAACCUUUUUUUUUAGCCUUUUGGGAGGGGUAUAGGGCAGAGGAGCAAUAAUAUUAGAUGUCUAGAUGUUUAGAUUUAUUUGCUCAUUUGCUUAUAAUUUU